UAGUCCACGCCGUAAACGAUGGUUACUAGCUGUUCGGAUUUCGGUCUGAGUGGCUAAGCGAAAGUGAUAAGUAACCCACCUGGGGAGUACGUUCGCAAGAAUGAAACUCAAAGGAAUUGACGGGGGCCCGCACAAGCGGUGGAGCAUGUGGUUUAAUUCGAUGAUACGCGAGGAACCUUACCAGGGCUUAAAUGUAAAGUGACAGAUCUAGAGAUAGAUUUUUCUUCGGACACUCUACAAGGUGCUGCAUGGUUGUCGUCAGCUCGUGCCGUGAGGUGUCAGGUUAAGUCCUAUAACGAGCGCAACCCCUGUUGUUAGUUGCCAGCGAGUCAUGUCGGGAACUCUAACAAGACUGCCGGUGCAAACCGUGAGGAAGGUGGGGAUGACGUCAAAUCAUCACGGCCCUUACGUCCUGGGCUACACACGUGCUACAAUGGUAGGUACAGAGGGCUGCGAAGGUGCACGCUGGAGCGAAAACUCAUAAAGGUACUCUUAGUCCGGAUUGCAGU
rnacentral:rRNA from 1 species